rnacentral:miRNA from 13 species
CAGCUGACAGACAGCUGCUUUC